GAGUGAAGACAGCCUUCUGAACGUUUGAUCUCAAAUCAGGUAGGACUACCCGCUGAACUUAAGCAUAUCAAUAAGCGGAGGAAAAGAAACUAACAAGGAUUCCCCUAGUAACUGCGAGUGAAGCGGGAAGAGCUCAAAUUUAAAAUCUGGCGUGCCUCUGGUCGUCCGAGUUGUAGUCUGGAGAAGCGUUUUCCGUGUUGGACCGUGUAUAAGUCCCUUGGAACAGGGCGUCAUAGAGGGUGAGAAUCC
rnacentral:rRNA from 1 species